rnacentral:rRNA from 1 species
UAGCCAUGCUAGUUGCACGAGUUCAUACUCGUGGCGAAAAGCUCAGUAACACGUGGCCAAACUACCCUACAGAGAACGAUAACCUCGGGAAACUGAGGCUAAUAGUUCAUACGGGAGUCAUGCUGGAAUGCCGACUCCCCGAAACGCUCAGGCGCUGUAGGAUGUGGCUGCGGCCGAUUAGGUAGACGGUGGGGUAACGGCCCACCGUGCCGAUAAUCGGUACGGGUUGUGAGAGCAAGAGCCCGGAGACGGAAUCUGAGACAAGAUUCCGGGCCCUACGGGGCGCAGCAGGCGCGAAACCUUUACACUGCACGCAAGUGCGAUAAGGGGACCCCAAGUGCGAGGGCAUAUAGUCCUCGCUUUUCUCGACUGUAAGGCGGUCGAGGAAUAAGAGCUGGGCAAGACCGGUGCCAGCCGCCGCGGUAAUACCGGCAGCUCAAGUGAUGACCGAUAUUAUUGGGCCUAAAGCGUCCGUAGCCGGCCACGAAGGUUCAUCGGGAAAUCCGCCAGCUCAACUGGCGGGCGUCCGGUGAAAACCACGUGGCUUGGGACCGGAAGGCUCGAGGGGUACGUCCGGGGUAGGAGUGAAAUCCCGUAAUCCUGGACGGACCACCGAUGGCGAAAGCACCUCGAGAAGACGGAUCCGACGGUGAGGGACGAAAGCUAGGGUCUCGAACCGGAUUAGAUACCCGGGUAGUCCUAGCUGUAAACGAUGCUCGCUAGGUGUGACACAGGCUACGAGCCUGUGCUGUGCCGUAGGGAAGCCGAGAAGCGAGCCGCCUGGGAAGUACGUCCGCAAGGAUGAAACUUAAAGGAAUUGGCGGGGGAGCACUACAACCGGAGGAGCCUGCGGUUUAAUUGGACUCAACGCCGGACAUCUCACCAGCUCCGACUACAGUGAUGACGAUCAGGUUGAUGACCUUAUCACGACGCUGUAGAGAGGAGGUGCAUGGCCGCCGUCAGCUCGUACCGUGAGGCGUCCUGUUAAGUCAGGCAACGAGCGAGACCCGCACUUCUAAUUGCCAGCAGCAGUUUCGACUGGCUGGGUACUUUAGAAGGACUGCCGCUGCUAAAGCGGAGGAAGGAACGGGCAACGGUA